UGCCCAGACUCCUACGGGAGGCAGCAGUGGGGAAUAUUGCACAAUGGGGGAAACCCUGAUGCAGCGACGCCGCGUGAGUGAAGAAGUAUUUCGGUAUGUAAAGCUCUAUCAGCAGGGAAGAAAAUGACGGUACCUGACUAAGAAGCCCCGGCUAACUACGUGCCAGCAGCCGCGGUAAUACGUAGGCGGCAAGCGUUGUCCGGAUUUACUGGGUGUAAAGGGCGUGCAGCCGGGCUGACAAGUCAGAUGUGAAAUCCCGCGGCUCAACCGCGGAACUGCAUUUGAAACUGUCAGUCUUGAGUACCGGAGAGGUCAUCGGAAUUCCUUGUGUAGCGGUGAAAUGCGUAGAUAUAAGGAAGAACACCAGUGGCGAAGGCGGAUGACUGGACGGCAACUGACGGUGAGGCGCGAAAGCGUGGGUAGCGAACGGGAUUAGAUACCCGUGUA
rnacentral:rRNA from 1 species